rnacentral:tRNA from 1 species
GCCCGGUUAGUUCAGUUGGUUAGAACGCCACAACACACUUAAUUAAAUUUAAACAGUUUUAAAUCGUGGAAACGCGGGUUCAAUUCCUGCACUGGGCU